rnacentral:rRNA from 1 species
AAGCUCAAAUUUGAAAUCUGGCGUUCAUUUGGAUGUCCGAGUUGUAAUUUGRAGGAGCGUCUUCGGGAAUGGACACCGUCCUAAGUUCUUUUGGAACUGGACAUCAUAGAGGGUYASAAUCCCGUGCCUGGGSGGCAGUCUGUUCCCAUGCGAAGCGUUUCCGACGAGUCGAGUUGUUUGGGAAUGCAGCUCAAAACGGGUGGUAAAUUUCAUCUAAAGCUAAAUAUUGGCGAGAGACCGAUAGCGCACAAGUAGAGUGAUCGAAAGAUGAAAAGCACUUUGAAAAGAGAGUUAAAAAGUACGUGAAAUUGUUGAAAGGGAAGCGCUUGAGAUUGAACCUGGAAGGGAUGACUUGCAAGGGUGGGAGGCUUCGUGCUUCCUGGCUUUAACAAUUGGCCAUCUCCACUCCAGGCCACCAUCGGUUCUGACGGCGAGAAAAACGGCCAGGGAAUGUGGCUCUCUUCGGGGAGUGUUUAUAGACCUAGCUCAUUUACGCCAGUUGGGACCGAGGAUUAGAGCGAGCUGGGAUUUCGAUCCCAUGACCUCAAGGAUGUGUGGCAUGUUGAUCUUAAGCGACCCG